UAAUCCCAGUGCCAGGGUGAUUUUGUCAUCCACUAAUUAUCAGUUUGUCUUUGCAGAUGGCAGCGUACUCAGUCUCUACUUCUACUACCUGAUCAAUCUAAACAUCAUGACAGUCAAAGCUAAGAUUUCCGCAUCCACGGACCUCACCACAGCGAUCAGUGCAGGGGAGCUGGUCAAAUCGGAGACACUUCUCAGCUGUCUGUAUUCCAACGAUCAUGGAACAGAAACACCCAAUCCAGCCAACCGAUAUCAAUUUGAUAAAGUUGGGAUAGGUUCUUUUGCCGACUAUGUGGAGGAGCUGGGUCAUCCCUACAAGUGGGUUCAGAAUCUUGGAGGAUUAAAUUUUCCCAGUGAUAC